UACGGAGGGUGCAAGCGUUGUUCGGAAUUACUGGGCGUAAAGCGCACGUAGGCGGACUUGUUAGUCAGGGGUGAAAUCCCGGGGCUCAACCUCGGAAUUGCCUUUGAUACUGCAAGUCUCGAGUCCGGAAGAGGUGAGUGGAAUUCCUAGUGUAGAGGUGAAAUUCGUAGAUAUUAGGAAGAACACCAGUGGCGAAGGCGGCUCACUGGUCCGGUACUGACGCUGAGGUGCGAAAGCGUGGGGAGCAAACAGG
rnacentral:rRNA from 1 species